UGGGGAAUCUUCCGCAAUGGGCGCAAGCCUGACGGAGCAAUGCCGCGUGAACGAAGAAGGUCUUAGGAUUGUAAAGUUCUGUCCUUAUCGAAGAGAGGUAUGUAUGUGAAUAAUGUGCAUAUAGGACGGUAGGUAAGGAGGAAGCCCCGGCUAACUACGUGCCAGCAGCCGCGGUAAUACGUAGGGGGCGAGCGUUGUCCGGAAUCACUGGGCGUAAAGGGCGUGUAGGCGGUAAUAUAAGUCAGAUGUGAAAGAUGCCGGCUCAACCGGGAGAGUGCAACUGAUACUGUAUAACUUGAGUGUGAGAGAGGGAAGCGGAAUUCCUAGUGUAGCGGUGAAAUGCGUAGAUAUUAGGAGGAACACCAGUGGCGAAGGCGGCUUUCUGGCUCAUAACUGACGCUGAGGCGCGAAAGCGUGGGGAGCAAACAGG
rnacentral:rRNA from 1 species